GAAAGCGUAUCGGGCGGAGCGGA
rnacentral:siRNA from 1 species